AUGGGAAAGCAGGACCAAGAACUGUACAAAGAAAUAUUACAGAACCUGUACAGAGAUCAUGGUGUGAGUGACAAGGCUCAGCGAAGGGUUGAAUUUAUUCACCAGGAUCUCUGCAAGAAGGGAAUGACUGACUUGGGGAAGAAAAGGAAGGCCCGAAUUGUAAAGAAGAUUUGGGUGGAAAACCAAAAAGUGGAUCUUAAUCUUAGUGUGUACCUUGGUGUCCUCCCAAUUUUGAAGGAAUACGUCAUGGUCUUUCAAGGAAGUAAAACCUUGGUUCACAAGCUUCAUGACAAGCAACUUGAAGUGUUCAUCAACUUUCUUGCCUGCUUCAUCAAGCCCGAGCAUCUGAAGACGUCGCCAAACAAAUUGCUAGAAUUGGACUUGGCCAAUAACACACUUCACUCCCAGAUUUAUGUUGGGAAAGUCGCAGAAGACCUGAUUGCAGCCCAUCCAAAG